AAUGAACGCUGGCGGCAUGCCUUACACAUGCAAGUCGAACGGCAGCAUGACCUAGCUUGCUAGGUUGAUGGCGAGUGGCGAACGGGUGAGUAAUGCAUCGGAACGUGCCUUUUAGUGGGGGAUAACGUAGCGAAAGUUACGCUAAUACCGCAUAUUCUCUGAGGAGGAAAGCAGGGGGCCUUCGGGCCUUGCGCUAGAAGAGCGGCCGAUGUCGGAUUAGCUAGUUGGUGAGGUAAAGGCUCACCAAGGCAACGAUCCGUAGCGGGUCUGAGAGGAUGAUCCGCCACCGUGGGGCUGAGACCCGGCCCAGCCCCCUGCGGGGGGCAGCAGUGGGGAAUUUUGGACAAUGGGCGCAAGCCUGUCCCAGCCCUGCCGCGUGGGGGAAGAAGGCCUUCGGGUUGUAAAGGUCUUUCGGCUGGGAAGAAAUCGCACCCCCUAAUACGGGGGGGGGGUGACGGUACCGGCAAAAAAAGCCCCGGCUAACUACGU
rnacentral:rRNA from 1 species